ensembl:snoRNA SNORD58 Small nucleolar RNA SNORD58
UUGCAAUGAUGACCAUCUUAGGACACCUUUAGAAAUAAGCAUGAAAACAACCCGAUCAAUCUGAGCAAC